GGAAAAGCUACAUCAGACUUAUUCUUCCCACUUUUAGUACUGACACCCAGUUUUAUUAGUCUGACACCUAAAUCCACCUACAUUCUAGAGGUUUUAUCCCCAAACUCUCAUGUUCUGACUUUUGCCACAGUUCCAUCUGGCCAGAAGUGUGGUGUAAAUGCCUGAAGUAACUAGGAAAAUAAAACUAACAUUCACACUUUUAAGGAAAAGGUACAGCAUUGAAGAGGCUUUCAGGGUAGGGCAUAACUGCAUUCCCUAGGCUCCCAACCUUAGAUGCUAUCGCGCUGGGGAAACUUGGUGUGCUAGCUCUAAGGAACACCACGGAGCGUAGAGUGGAGUGGAGACACCACGGCUAGGCUCUGUAAUCAGGUGGGGCCUCGAUUGUUCUUGUGCACAAAGCUGCACUUUUUGCCACCCUAAGCCAAAGACCUGUCAUGUUUUGACAAAUGCUGUACCCUAGUGUACUUUUUGCUCAUUAUAAUAUCAUUAUAAUACCAAAACACACCUCCAUCCCAAAAGCUACCCGCCUCCAAGGUGCGACCACCCCUCACUGAGCAUGCGCUCUGAAUUUCUCGGAGCCUAUUACUUUAAACGGAAACGGGAAAACUUUACACCAAUCAUAACUAAGAUAUGCUUGACUAGAGCCACUCAAGCUCCACCUAAAAGAUAGAAAAUAAUAUAAAUUGGCCCAAGAGAGAGGGGAUGUUAGGGAAGAUACCAUCGUCAGGGGAGAUACCAUCCCGAGGACAUACAACAUCCUUAGGACCUCCUGACUCCUGAGAUCAGUCGACGGGCUGAGCCUCUCUUCCCCCCCCAUUGGGACGCCUUUGGAUGCUCAGACAUCCAGUUCCUUAUCCAAGCAGAAGACUUCUCAAACUUGUUUUCUUCUGUUUCUCCCAUGAACAUGGUUGGAUCCUGGAGACUAAUACAGAAAAUUUAUAUGCAGCAUAUACAAAAAACAGAUAAGAAACAGGAAGCAAAAUUUUUACCGAGUAAUAUGCUCUCAGUGUGGCCUUUGGAUGGAAAGGAUGGGACUUCUGGCCUUUAGCAACUGGAGGAGUUGUGACAGAGCAGGUUUCUGGGAUUGCAAGAAAAUAGGCAGUUCUUGAAGGCUGUUAAAUAGGCAGUUCUUGAAGGGACAGAAGGUCACUAUUAUCAGCAAGAUUUCUACAAUCUGAGCAGAAAAAGUUGACCUCAAGGAUGUGGUCUCCAGGGUUCAGACUCAACAGGUACUCACAGCUUGGCACUUGCCUGAGAACCAAGGCAAGCUGAAAAUUUGAAUUAUUGAGAGCUGUCUGUCAGAAACUGAUAGCAACCAUGUUUGGCAAGUAAUAGUUUUCAAUUACUGAUAAAAUAAAUUAAGGAGGUAAGAAAUUGUGUCA
rnacentral:lncRNA from 1 species